GGCUAUGACCCCUGAGGUUCCUAAGCCAGUCUGUGGAGCAGUGCUCUGCUGACAUGACAUUGGCCCUGGCCUGUGGCAGAAUGUAGAACUAGGGACAGUGUGCAGGUGGUUUUUCAUUCAGCCAGAUUUACCCAGAGUUCAGAACAGGCAUCCUUGUACAUAGCCAUACAGCGUUUGUUUCUGACUUCAGUGGUGGAGAAAGUGCUACUUUGCAAGAUAGUUGACUUCCUUGUUGGUCAGCUCUGUCUUUUAGACAGUUCUUCCUUUAUAUUUGUCAGCAUGUACUUCCUGAAAUGUCCUGCCAUGGUUGUAGUUCUUGCCUGUGGAGAGAGAUUCUGGCUGUUGCCCAUUCGUCAGCCUGACUGCCCUUCUCCUCUUCCUGUGCGCCCCCCUCUAGCUUGUCAGGGUCUCUUUGAAAGUUGGGGUAUAGAAGACUGCACAUCAUACUCCACAUGAGGUCUGCUCACAUUCAGCCUUGCUCUUUUCACCCACAUUGCUGUCAGGUCAUAAACCUGUCUCAGUUUUGGUGCAUCUCACAUUUUCCCCUGUUAACUUCAUUUUAUUUGAUUCAGUUUCUUGUUUUAGGUAUAGCACUUUAAUUUAGGUGCUGAUUCUUUAAUUUUACUUAUCAGAUAAUCUUGAAGGACCCUGGAAGUAUAAGAUAGAAAAUACACUUGAUUUACGUUAGUAGUUUAAUGUUUAUGGCUCACACUUAGCCUAUUUUAACAGCUUUUUAUAAGGACACAGGCUAAGAAUCCCUCAUCUGUUCCAGGGAUUCCAUUUUUCUCCUUUUCAGUUUGUUUUCCAUGGAAGCACUGCUCUUUGGGCUAUAAUUGCUUGACUCAAACAGUGAGACAGGGUUCUCCCUCCUCUGUCCUUUUUAUGGUCGUGCAGGAAAAUACAUUAGAGGGAAGUUUAUAGACUUAAUUGCAUUUAUUUUUAAAAAUAAAGGACUGAGCCACCACACCUGGCCUCGAUCCCCGUUUUACAGAUCAAACAAGUUC
rnacentral:lncRNA from 10 species